rnacentral:rRNA from 1 species
GAUGAACGCUAGCGGCAGGCCUAAUACAUGCAAGUCGGACGGGAUUCAGGAGCUUGCUUCUGAUGAGAGUGGCGCACGGGUGCGUAACACGUAUGUAACCUACCUUUAUCAGGGGGAUAGCCUCUCGAAAGAGAGAUUAAGCCCGCAUAAAAUCACAGCACAGCAUUGUGUAAUGAUCAAAUAUUUAUAGGAUAAAGAUGGGCAUGCGGAACAUUAGCUAGAUGGCGGGGUAACGGCCCACCAUGGCGACGAUGUUUAGGGGAUCUGAGAGGAUGGCCCCCCAAAAUGGUACCGAGGCCCGGACCAGAAUCCUACGGGAGGCAGCAGUAAGGAAUAUUGGUCAAUGGGCGGAAGCCUGAACCAGCCAUGCCGCGUGCAGGAAGACGGCCCUACGGGUUGUAAACUGCUUUUAUACGGGAAUAAACCCAGAUACGUGUAUCUGGCUGAAUGUACUGUAAGAAUAAGGAUCGGCUAACUCCGUG